CAGGAAGUACAUCGUGUCCUGUAAGCAGGCGGAGAUGCCCCUCUCUGUCCCCUGGGAUCCUAGCAACCAGGUGUACCUGAGCUACAACAACGUCUCCUCCCUGAAGAUGCUCGUGGCCAAGGACAACUGGGUGCUGUCCUCGGAGAGCAACCAGUGUGUAAUCCUGCUAGUGUGGAAAACACAUGAAGUUACAUCA